rnacentral:rRNA from 1 species
GUGGGGAAUCUUCCGCAAUGGACGAAAGUCUGACGGAGCAACGCCGCGUGAGUGAUGACGGCCUUCGGGUUGUAAAGCUCUGUGAUCGGGGACGAAUGGCUGGUAUGCUAAUACCAUAUCAGAGUGACGGUACCCGAAUAGCAAGCCACGGCUAACUACGUGCCAGCAGCCGCGGUAAUACGUAGGUGGCAAGCGUUGUCCGGAAUUAUUGGGCGUAAAGCGCGCGCAGGCGGCUUCUUAAGUCCAUCUUAAAAGUGCGGGGCUUAACCCCGUGAUGGGAUGGAAACUGGGAGGCUGGAGUAUCGGAGAGGAAAGUGGAAUUCCUAGUGUAGCGGUGAAAUGCGUAGAGAUUAGGAAGAACACCGGUGGCGAAGGCGACUUUCUGGACGACAACUGACGCUGAGGCGCGAAAGCGUGGGGAGCAAACAGGAUUAGAUACCCUAGUAGUCC